GACGAACGCUGGCGGCGUGCUUAACACAUGCAAGUCGAACGGAAAGGCCCCCUUGUGGGGUACUCGAGUGGCGAACGGGUGAGUAACACGUGAGUAACCUACCCUUGACUUUGGGAUAACUUCAGGAAACUGGGGCUAAUACCGGAUAGGAGCUCCUGCUGCAUGGUGGGGGUUGGAAAGUUUCGGCGGUUGGGGAUGGACUCGCGGCUUAUCAGCUUGUUGGUGGGGUAGUGGCUCACCAAGGCUUUGACGCGUAGCCGGCCUGAGAGGGUGACCGGCCACAUUGGGACUGAGAUACGGCCCAGACUCCUACGGGAGGCAGCAGUGGGGAAUAUUGCACAAUGGGCGGAAGCCUGAUGCAGCAACGCCGCGUGCGGGAUGACGGCCUUCGGUUUGUAAACCGCUUUCGCCUGUGACGAAGCGUGAGUGACGGUAAUGGGUAAAGAAGCACCGGCUAACUACGUG
rnacentral:rRNA from 1 species